rnacentral:lncRNA from 1 species
AGCAGGCUUUCAGAAUGCGUACCUAGCAGUGUGACCAUCAAAGAAGAAAUGAGAUAAGUACAUUCUUCAACUCAUCAAGGCAACUUCUAUCUGCAACACAGAAAGCAUUACAGAAAACCUCAGCCAAUCGAAAUGCAAAGGAGUGAAGCCCAGUCUUGUCUCAACUGAUACAUCUGCAAAACAACUUCUACUCGUAAGGCUCACUGCAGACGAGGGAUCAGAAAGAUUGUAAGAGUCAGAGGAACAGGGAGUUUGCUGUGCAACUAUGUCUCCUAGAAAGGUCAAAAACUAAACCCAUGACGUCUCACCAAAGUGGCUGCCUAAACAAGACCCAAAGAUGACACCAAUAGAUGUGCUAACGUGGAAAGAGAAACUUCAGGAGGCUCCAAUCCUCCACAAAGAACUCCAGACAACCAAGACAUGCUAAGAUCAGGAGAAAUCGUCU